GCAGCCAAGGAACUGCUUCAGUGGGUUACCCUCCUUGCCCUGCAGCAGCACCAGACGUGUUUAAGCACAGAAGUAAGACAUCUUAAAGCAUUUCUGAUAAAGACCUGAGAGCUGGUCAUUUGGAAAACUGGGCCCUUUGAACGAUCUUAAAUGGGACACACAUUGUGAUUCUCCUGUUGAAAAUUUAUUCUUGAAUUCCUGGUGCUUGCUUGAAGUUUACACUGCUAAGAAUACUGAAGACAGUGCAAAUACAUUUAUUUUCAGCAACAUCCUUCAUGGACAAGUGCUUAUAAGGGAUGAGGAGACUAUUUCCACAGUACACAAAAAUAUCUCUGGCAACAAUAGGAGCAGUCACUCCUUUGCUCAUCUGCAAGAUAAAAUGUUCUUCUGUAAAAUAGCAGGUAAUGGUAAUGCAGCUUUUGACCUUCAGCGGGGAAACUCAUUGCUGAGUCUUGAUCUUGGGUCUACAUGCUCUAUUUCCUUUGAGAAUGCCUAGAUAGUUACUGGAAGCUAUCACCCCAAUAACUGCUUUGAAUAUGAGACAGCUGAACUCCUGCUAAUAGCUCUGCCC
rnacentral:lncRNA from 1 species